UUUUUUGCUGUUUUUUGGCCAUUUAUGAAAAAUGAAAAAAGUCGCAAAAAAUGGACGAAAAGUUAAGCCUAUAGCCUUACUUUUUUGCUGUUUUUUUGGUCAUUUAUGAAAAAUGAAAAAAGUCGCAAAAAAUGGACGAAAAAUCAAGGCUAUAGCCCUACUUUUUUGCUGUUUUUUGCCAUUUAUGGAAAAUGAAAAAAGUCGCAAAAAAUGGACGAAAAGUUAAGCCUAUAGCCUUACUUUUUUGCUGUUUUUUAGCCAUUUAUGAAAAAUGAAAAACGUCACUGAAAAUGGACGAAAAGUUAAGGUAUAGGCUUACUUUUUUGCUGUUUUUUGGCCAUUUAUGAAAAUGAAAAAGUCGCAAAAAAUGGACGAAAGUCAAGGUUAUAGCCUUAUUUUUUUUCUGUUUUUUGGCCAUUUAUGAAAAAUGAAAAAAGUCGCAAAAAGUGGACGAAAAGUUAAGCCUAUAGCCUUACUUUUUUGCUGUUUUUUUGGCCAUUUAUGAAAAAUGAAAAAAGUCGCAAAAAAUGGACGGAAAGUCCAGGCUAUAGCCCUACUUUUUUGCUGUUUUUUGGCCAUUUAUGAAAAAUGAAAAAAGUCGCAAAAAAUGGACGAAAAGUUAAGCCUAUAGCCUUACUUUUUUGCUGUUUUUUUGCCAUUUAUGAAAAAUGAAAAAGUCGCAAAAAAUGGAC
rnacentral:lncRNA from 1 species